GUGGGGAAUCUUGCACAAUGGGGGAAACCCUGAUGCAGCGACGCCGCGUGAGCGAUGAAGCCCUUCGGGGUGUAAAGCUCUUUCGGCAGGAACGAAUACUGACGGUACCUGCAGAAGAAGCUGCGGCUAACUACGUGCCAGCAGCCGCGGUAAUACGUAGGCAGCGAGCGUUGUUCGGAGUUAUUGGGCGUAAAGAGUGCGUAGGCGGCCUGGCAAGUCCGGUGUGAAAUCUCCCGGCUCAACUGGGAGGGUGCGCCGGAAACUGCCGGGCUCGAGUGCGGGAGAGGAGAGCGGAAUUCCUGGUGUAGCGGUGAAAUGCGUAGAUAUCAGGAGGAACACCGGCGGUGUAGACGGCUCUCUGGACCGUGACUGACGCUGAGGCACGAAAGCGUGGGGAGCAAACAGGAUUAGAAACCCCAGUAGUCC
rnacentral:rRNA from 1 species